AGAGACGUCGGUCGCUUCCGGGAGAGUCCGCGUCUCCCGCACCUUCCUCUCUAUCAAACGCGGUCUCUGUGGUAGCCGGGGCCCCGCCCCUCCUCGGACUCUACCCAGUACUGAACUAGGGGCAGCUGGGCUCCAGAGUCCCUCGGGUCUCAGGUCAUGGCGGUCCCGGGGCCCGCGCCCGGAGCUGGCGCCAGGCCCAGGUUAGAUCUGCAAUUUCUCCAGCGGUUCCUGCAGAUACUGAAGGUUUUGUUUCCUUCUUGGUCAUCACAGAAUGCCUUGAUGUUCCUGACCCUUUUGUGCCUGACCCUACUGGAACAAUUUGUGAUCUACCGGGUUGGCUUGAUCCCCAGUCAGUACUAUGGGGUCCUGGGAAACAAAGACUUGGAAGGGUUUAAGACUCUGACAUUCCUGGCUGUCAUGCUCAUUGUUCUGAACUCCACGCUGAAGAGCUUUGAUCAGUUCACCUGCAACCUGCUGUAUGUGAGCUGGAGGAAGGACCUCACUGAGCACCUUCACCGCCUCUACUUCCGGGGCCGUGUGUACUACACCCUCAACGUGCUGCGGGAUGACAUCGAUAACCCGGACCAGCGCAUCAGCCAGGACGUGGAGCGAUUCUGCCGGCAGCUCAGCAGCAUGGCCAGCAAGCUGAUCAUCUCCCCGUUCACCCUCGUCUACUACACUUACCAGUGCUUCCAAAGCACAGGCUGGCUCGGGCCUGUGAGCAUCUUCGGGUAUUUCAUCCUGGGGACCGUGGUGAACAAAACUUUGAUGGGCCCCAUUGUGACGAAGCUGGUGCAUCAGGAGAAGCUGGAGGGAGAUUUUAGGUUCAAGCACAUGCAGAUUCGGGUGAAUGCGGAGCCUGCUGCUUUCUACAGAGCUGGGCAUGUGGAGCACAUGCGGACAGACCGCAGGCUGCAGAGACUCCUUCAGACCCAGAGGGAACUGAUGUCCAAGGAGCUCUGGCUGUACAUCGGCAUCAACACCUUUGACUAUCUGGGCAGCAUCCUGAGUUACGUUGUCAUCGCAAUCCCCAUUUUCAGCGGGGUCUAUGGAGACCUGAGUCCCGCAGAGCUUAGCACCCUGGUCAGCAAGAAUGCCUUUGUGUGCAUCUACCUCAUCAGCUGCUUCACCCAGCUCAUCGACCUGUCCACGACGCUCUCAGAUGUGGCUGGCUACACGCACAGAAUUGGGCAGCUUCGGGAGACGCUUCUGGACAUGUCCCCGAAGUCACAGGACUGCGAGAUCCUGGGCGAGAGCGAGUGGGGCUUGGACACACCCCCAGGGUGGCCAGUGGCAGAGCCAGCAGACACAGCAUUUCUCCUUGAGCGGGUCUCCAUCUCUGCCCCCUCCUCUGACAAACCCCUAAUCAAGGAUCUGAGCCUAAAGAUCUCCGAGGGACAGAGCCUGCUCAUCACAGGCAACACGGGCACUGGCAAGACCUCCUUGCUCCGGGUUCUGGGUGGCCUCUGGACGAGUACACGGGGCUCAGUGCAGAUGCUGACGGACUUUGGGCCCCAUGGGGUGCUAUUCCUGCCACAAAAGCCGUUCUUCACUGACGGGACCCUUCGGGAGCAGGUGAUAUAUCCCCUGAAGGAGGUCUACCCCGACUCAGGAGAGAUGCCCAUUGGGACAAGGAAAGUGAUGCCUUCCUUCACCCACCCCUUCCCUUAUGAAGAUCUGCAACCUGUGGUUUCAAAGCCUUCGCCCAGCAUUCUGGGGCCCCCCACCCCUGCCAUCAUCCAUGAUGUGCCCUGUCUAUUCUUUUUUUUUUUUUUUUUUUUGAGAUGGAGUUUCACUCUGUCACCCAGACUGGAGUGCAGUGGUGUGAUCUCGGCUCACUGCAACCUCCACCUCCCAGGUUCAAGCAAUUCCCCUGCCUCAGCCUCUUCCGUAGCUGGGGCUACAGGUGCACGCCACCAAGCCUGCCUAAUUUUUGUAUAUUUAGUAGAGACAGGGUUUCACCAUGUUGGCCAGGGUGGUCUCCAUCUCCUGACCUUGUGAUCCACCUGCCUCGGCCUCCCAAAGUGUUGGGAUUACAGGCGUGAGCCACUGUGCACAGCCUUGCCCUGUCUAUUUUGACCAGCCAGGAGGCUCUGGCUUUUUGCAGAAGGCUUCUUUGUUGUGCAGGUUCUGCCGAUGAUGAGAGGAUCUUGAGGUUCUUGGAAUUGGCAGGCCUGUCCAACUUGGUGGCAAGGACAGAGGGUCUGGACCAGCAGGUGGACUGGAACUGGUAUGAUGUUCUGUCCCCGGGGGAGAUGCAACGGCUCUCCUUUGCCCGACUCUUCUACCUGCAGCCGAAGUACGCAGUGCUUGAUGAAGCCACCAGUGCCCUGACAGAGGAAGUGGAGAGCGAGCUCUAUCGCAUCGGCCAGCAGCUGGGGAUGACGUUCAUCAGUGUGGGACAUCGGCAGAGCCUUGAGAAGUUUCAUUCCUUGGUUCUGAAACUCUGUGGAGGAGGAAGAUGGGAGCUGAUGAGAAUCAAAGUGGAAUGAAGCUCUGGCUUUUGGAAGGAGAGCCACACUGUGGCGGGUCGGCGGCCCUCAGGAGAGACCAGGAGGACUGACAGCGAAGGUCGAGCUCAGGUUCGCCACAUAGAUCCCGUGCAGGAGCCACAUGGGUCCUGUGCAGGACCCCUAGCAGUGGUGGGCUGAGCCCAGGUCUAGGUUUCUGUGGGGGACACUGAAUCUCCCAGUGUUCAGUCUCCCAGGACUCUGCUGCCUCAGCCAGAGCCUCCAUAUGCUUGAAGUGCUGAUUACCUACAAAUGAUUUCAGAUCAUGUUUGCUAAAGAGAAAUCUGGAAGUGUGAGAUCUGUAAGAAAUGAAAGGUCAGGGUGGAAAGAGAUGUUCUUGGAGUCAAGAGAUCUGGAAAUCUUUUAAUCAGUUAAAUUGUGCAGCAAUAGAUUUUUAACUUUAACUGACCAUUUAAGUUUUUUAAUAAGUUUUUUACAAAGAAAAGUUAAACAUUAAAAAGAAUUACAGCUUUC